AUUGAACGCUGGCGGCAGGCCUAACACAUGCAAGUCGAACGAGUGGCGGACGGGUGAGUAAUGUCUGGGAAACUGCCUGAUGGAGGGGGAUAGCUACUGGAAACGGUAGCUAAUACCGCAUACCAUCGGGUGUGCCCAGAUGGGAUUAGCUAGUAGGUGGGGUAAAGGGUCACUUAGGCGACGAUCCCUAGCUGGUCUGCGGGGAUGACCGGCCACACUGGAACUGUGAGACGGUCCAGACGCCUACGGUAGGCAGCAGUGGGGAAUAUUGCACUAUGGGCGCAAGCCUGAUGCAGCCAUGCCGCGUGUAUGAAGAAGGCCUUAGGGUUGUAAAGUACUGUCAGCGGGGAGGCGGUACCCGCAGAAGAAGCACCGGCUAACUCCGUGCCAGCAGCCGCGGUAAUUC
rnacentral:rRNA from 1 species